UACGAAGGGGGCUAGCGUUGUUCGGAAUUACUGGGCGUAAAGCGCACGUAGGCGGAUAUUUAAGUCAGGGGUGAAAUCCCAGAGCUCAACUCUGGAACUGCCUUUGAUACUGGGUAUCUUGAGUAUGGAAGAGGUAAGUGGAAUUGCGAGUGUAGAGGUGAAAUUCGUAGAUAUUCGGAAGAACACCAGUGGCGAAGGCGGCUCACUGGCCCGGUACUGACGCUGAGGUGCGAAAGCGUGGGGAGCAAACAGG
rnacentral:rRNA from 1 species